UGGCGGCAGUAGCGCGGUGGUCCCACCUGACCCCAUGCCGAACUCAGAAGUGAAACGCCGUAGCGCCAAUGGUAGUGUGGGGUCUCCCCAUGCGAGAGUAGGGAACUGCCA
rnacentral:rRNA from 2 species